rnacentral:rRNA from 1 species
AAAGCACUUUCAGUCGUGAGAAGGUAGUGUAGUUAUAGCUGCAUUAUUUGACGUUAGCGACAGAAGAAGCACCGGCUAACUCCGUGCCAGCAGCCGCGGUAAUACGGAGGGUGCGAGCGUUAAUCGGAAUUACUGGGCGUAAAGCGCAUGCAGGUGGUUUGUUAAGUUCAGAUGUGAAAGACCCGGGGCGUCAACCUCGGAAUAGCAUUUGAAACUAGGCAGACUAGAGUACUGUAGAGGGGGGUAGGAAUUUCAGGUGUAGCGGUGAAAUAGCGUAGAGAUCUGAAGGAAUACCGGUGGCGAAGGCGGCCCCCUCGGACAGAUACUGACACUCAGAUGCGAAAGCGUGGGGAGCAAACAGGAUUAGAUACCCUGGUAG